rnacentral:rRNA from 1 species
AAUGAACGCUGGCGGCAUGCCUUACACAUGCAAGUCGAACGGCAGCAUGACCUAGCUUGCUAGGUUGAUGGCGAGUGGCGAACGGGUGAGUAAUGCAUCGGAACGUGCCUUUUAGUGGGGGAUAACGUAGCGACAGUUACGCUAAUACCGCAUAUUCUCUGAGGAGGAAAGCAGGGAGCCUUCGGGCCUUGCGCUAGAAGAGCGGCCGAUGUCGGAUUAGCUAGUUGGUGAGGUAAAGGCUCACCAAGGCAACGAUCCGUAGCGGGUCUGAGAGGAUGACCCGCCACACUGGGACUGAGACACGGCCCAGACUCCUACGGGAGGCAGCAGUGGGGAAUUUUGGACAAUGGGCGCAAGCCUGAUCCAGCCAUGCCGCGUGAGUGAAGAAGGCCUUCGGGUUGUAAAGCUCUGUCGGCUGGGAAGAAAUCGCACUCUCUAAUACAGGGUGUGGAUGACGGUACCAGCAUAAGAAGCACCGGCUAACUACGUG